rnacentral:rRNA from 1 species
AUUGAACGCUGGCGGCAGGCCUAACACAUGCAAGUCGAGCGGAUGAAGGGAGCUUGCUCCUGGAUUCAGCGGCGGACGGGUGAGUAAUGCCUAGGAAUCUGCCUGGUAGUGGGGGAUAACGUCCGGAAACGGGCGCUAAUACCGCAUACGUCCUGAGGGAGAAAGUGGGGGAUCUUCGGACCUCACGCUAUCAGAUGAGCCUAGGUCGGAUUAGCUAGUUGGUGGGGUAAAGGCCUACCAAGGCGAUGAUCCGUAACUGGUCUGAGAGGAUGAUCAGUCACACUGCAACUGAGACACGGUCCAGACUCCCACGGGAGGCAGCAGUGGGGAAUAUUGGACAAUGGGCGAAAGCCUGAUCCAGCCAUGCCGCGUGUGUGAAGAAGGUCUUCGGAUUGUAAAGCACUUUAAGUUGGGAGGAAGGGCAGUAAGUUAAUACCUUGCUGUUUUGACGUUACCAACAGAAUAAGCACCGGCUAACUUCGUG